GAUGAACGCUGGCGGCGUGCCUAAUACAUGCAGGUCGAGCGAACAGAUAAGGAGCUUGCUCCUUUGACGUUAGCGGCGGACGGGUGAGUAACACGUGGGUAACCUACCUAUAAGACUGGAAUAACUCCGGGAAACCGGGGCUAAUGCCGGAUAACAUUUAGAACCGCAUGGUUCUAAAGUGAAAGAUGGUUUUACUAUCACUUAUAGAUGGACCCGCGCCGUAUUAGCUAGUUGGUAAGGUAACGGCUUACCAAGGCAACGAUACGUAGCCGACCUGAGAGGGUGAUCGGCCACACUGGAACUGAGACACGGUCCAGACUCCUACGGGAGGCAGCAGUAGGGAAUCUUCCGCAAUGGGCGAAAGCCUGACGGAGCAACGCCGCGUGAGUGAUGAAGGUCUUCGGAUCGUAAAACUCUGUUAUUAGGGAAGAACAAAUGUGUAAGUAACUGUGCACGUCUUGACGGUACCUAAUCAGAAAGCCACGGCUAACUACGUG
rnacentral:rRNA from 1 species